rnacentral:rRNA from 1 species
CACGUAGGGGCCAAGCGUUGUCCGGAUUUAUUGGGCGUAAAGGGUGCGUAGGCGGUCUGUUGCGUCGGCUGUGAAAACCCGGGGCUCAACUCCGGGCCUGCAGCCGAUACGGGCAGACUAGAGUUCGGCAGGGGAGACUGGAAUUCCUGGUGUAGCGGUGAAAUGCGCAGAUAUCAGGAGGAACACCGGUGGCGAAGGCGGGUCUCUGGGCCGAUACUGACGCUGAGGAGCGAAAGCGUGGGGAGCGAACAGG